rnacentral:rRNA from 1 species
CACGUAGGGUGCGAGCGUUGUCCGGAAUUAUUGGGCGUAAAGAGCUCGUAGGCGGUGUGUCGCGUCGGCCGUGAAAACCUGCAGCUUAACUGUGGGCUUGCGGUCGAUACGGGCAUCACUGGAGUUCGGCAGGGGAGACUGGAAUUCCUGGUGUAGCGGUGAAAUGCGCAGAUAUCGAGGAGGGAACACCGGUGGCGAAGGCGGGUCUCUGGGCCGAUAACUGACGCUGGGAGGGAGCGAAAGCCGUGGGGAGCGAACAGG